CGGCCUGAGGUCGGACGAGGCUACCCGCUGAAUUUAAGCAUAUUACUAAGCGGAGGAAAAGAAACUAACGAGGAUUCCCUCAGUAACGUCGAGUGAAGCGGGACGAGCCCAGCGCCUAAUCCGGCCGCUUAUGGAGCGGACUGAAUUGUGGCGUAUGGAAUU
rnacentral:ncRNA from 1 species